AGCAGAGCCACAUUGAGCUGUUGCCACAGCAUGCGAGAACCGAAGGACCUCCGUGGGUCACCUCGGGACUGGAGGCCAAGGAAACGCAGCGUUGGAUGCUGGGGCGGGGCAUCAAGGCCAGACUUGGUUCCUUAAACUUUGACUUGAGUCUAAGUGCUGGCGAAGGAGCACUCGAUCCCAAAAUACCGGGGCUUGGAGUUGUGCAGAUGGCGCUCCGCUGGGGCAUCGUGUCCGUCGGCCUCAUCUCCAGCGACUUCACCACUGUGCCGGGCCCGCUGCCCCGCUCCGACCACCAGGUCUGCUCCCCUCCGGGUCCUGGGGGAACGGGCUCCUGGGUCCGGGUAGCGAGGAUCCUACACCACGGCUGUUUCCCCGCUCCCUCCUUUUCUUCUCCACCUCAGUCCUGUAGCCCUAGCCCUGGAGGGUCGGAGGGUCUUAUCCUCCGGCCGGCCGCACCUGCUCCAGCCCCGUGAGUCUGAUCCCGGCGUCCUCCGGGUGGUGGCGGUAGCGGCCCGCGAGCUGAGCCGGGCGCAGGGGUUUGCGCGGAAACACGGCGUCCCCAAGGCGUACGGCUCCCCUGAGGAGCUGGCCAAGGGCCCGAAUGUGGGUGAGUGGCGAGGGUGGCCGGCGCGUCGGCUCCGGGCUGCCCCGUAGGAAACGUGAGGCUCCCCGGGCUAGGGGCCCGCCCGAGGGGCACGAACGGAUUUGAUCUGUCGCGAUAUUCAAUCGAGUCAACCUUCCGCAGUAAGAACCAAGCUUAAAUUUCUAAAGAAGCCAAGGAAUCUGUCAAGGGUUUAAUUUUAGUGUACAUGCCGCUCAAGCGGGUACUCUGGUAAGGGUUUAAUUAACCCCUGCAAGCCAGGCGCGAUGGUUCACGCUGGGAAUACCAGGUAUUCCGGAGGCUGAGGCAGGAGAGUGGCUCGAGCCCAGGAGUUCAAGACCACCCUGGGUGUUGUGUCCAGCGGGGAGAGGUAGGGGGGUAGGGGUCCCCAAUGACCCUCCACCUCUCUUCGUGUCCUUCGUGUCCUUCGUGCUAUUACUCCAGGGAGGAAUCCAGAAGUGGGGCUCUUAGCGGAAAAUGGGAGAAUCGAGACUGAUGUAGUGCAAAGUGAGUCUAUUUUAGAAGUGUGGCAAAUGGCAAGGAAACAGGAGUAACGCUAUCUUUUUUUUUUUUUUUUUUUGCUACCGGGGAUCGUACUCGAGUCCUUGUGCUUGCGAGGCAGGCGGUAGAACCACUGAACUAAAUCCCCGGCCCAAGUAACACUAUCUUAACAGAGUGGUGCUGCAAGAAAGAAGUUUGAGGUGUACUUCAUACUUAGAGUAUCAGGGAUCGAACACGGGACCUUGUGCUUGCAAGGCAGGCAUGGCGCCACUGAGCUAAGUCAUCUUCUACCUUAGAAGUGGCCUAUAUUGGCACUCAGCACCCUCAGCACAAGGCUUCGGUGCUGAUGUCUCUGGCAGUAGGCAAGGCUGUCCUGUGUGAGAAGCCCAUGGGUAUGAACGCUCCAGAAGUUCGCAAGAUGGUCUCAGAGGCCCAAACCCAAGGUCUCUUCCUUAUGGAGGCACUCACAGGCUUCAGCCAUCGGAAACCUCUUGCCCAGAUGCACACUGCUUUGGUUUCUGAGCCUUUGCACUUGCUGUUCUUCUGCGUGGGGGAGACUCAAACUCUGCCGAAAAUUUAAAAGUUGGGAAUCAAGGGACCGGGGAUUUAGCUCAGUGGUUCUGCUGCCUACCUCUCAAGCCCAAGGUCCCGAGUUCGACCCCUGGUACCAAAAACAACAAAAAAAAGUUGGGAA
rnacentral:lncRNA from 1 species